AUGUUUUCUAUCUGCGCGGACCUGUUACUCCUCGUCUUCACGGUUGCACGCUCUGGGCACUGGGAUAUACGAUUUCGUCGGACGUUUGGGCAGGCGAAGAAUAUCGAGUGGUCUAGGUUACGGGCAGCCCUACCACCGGUAUUGUCGGAUCAUCCGAACACCGUGUCCUGGCGGAUCUCACCGUCAGGAGAGUUCUCCGUCAACUCCGCAUACCAGGCAUUAUGUCGGUCCCCCACCAUUCAUUGGCUUUCUCCCUUGUGGAAGGCCCCUUUGCCCUUGAAGAUCAAGAUCUUUGUUUGGCAACUCCUUGGAGAUCGUCUCCCUUCGGGGACGGAGGUGCGUAAGCGGCAAGGCCCGGGGGAUGGCCUGUGCCCCUUAUGCACGGUGCCUGAGAAUGGAACUCACAUCCUAUUCUCAUGUACCACGGCUCGGGUCUUAUGGACAUUCGUCUGUGAGGCGCUAGGGCCCGAUUGGGAGGCCCUGGACCUCGCGGACUUCCUCCAAACCAGGGCUGCCCAACCUGGACGACAGCGCCGCUUAUUUUGGCUUAUUUUUGCAGCCAUGUCGUGGACUCUUUGGACAACGCGUAAUAAAAUGGUGAUUGAGCGGGUGUUUUCGAGGCGAGCGUCUGACAACUCCUUCAAAUUCCUUGCUUUUCUGCAGCACUGUCACCUGCUUACUAGGCAACACGACCGCAACCGUCUUGGCCUCAUGCUAGAUGCGCUCCUAGCUACAGCACACCGAUUAUCGUCUUCGUAG
rnacentral:rRNA from 1 species